rnacentral:rRNA from 1 species
GACGUAGGGCGCGAGCGUUUGUCCGGAUUUAUUGGGCGUAAAGAGCUCGUAGGCGGCUUGUCGCGUCGACCGUGAAAACUUGGGGCUCAACCCCAAGCCUGCGGUCGAUACGGGCAGGCUCGAGUUCGGUAGGGGAGACUGGAAUUCCAGGUGUAGCGGUGAAAUGCGUAGAUAUCAGGAAGAACACCCGUGGCGAAGGCGGCGUCUCUGGGACGGUACUGACGCUGAGACGCGGAAAGCGUGGGGAGCAAACAGG